rnacentral:tRNA from 1 species
CAAAAUAUAGUUUAAAAAAAAUAUUAAUUUUGGAAGUUAAUGAUAUAAAAUAAAUUAUUUUUUUGA